UCCCUUCUCUCUCUCAACUCAUUUCAUCCUCCCAAAACGCCGAUCCCCAAUUCGCAAAAUUUGCACUCUGCCCUCCGGCUUACCCCACGCCGCCGGCCGCCGCCUCCUCUCUCCUUCGCCGAUUCGGCGCCGCGGUAUCACAGCGUCUACUUCUGCCACCGUUGGCCGUCAAAUCGACGUCACAGUUCCAGCCACGGUUGCUGCCUCCGUCGCGUGGUCAGCCCCUGCUGCGAUUCGCGCCGCUGCUGCCUGCACGAAGCCGGAAGCCACCGUCCUUCGCCGAGCCGCUCUCGAAUCGCCACGAUUCCAAACCGAACAGCCCCGACUCACCCCGAAGAUAAGUUCUUUUACAAAGUUAUAUUCUUUCGCGUUUUAAAUUUUCAAUUCGCAGCACGGGGUUGCAAUUUGUGAUGUUCGAUUCAUUUGGGUUCGAUUCAUUGUUGAUUAUUGUUGAUUGAAUUAUUACUUGUGGGAGUUAUAUGUGAUGGUAUGCUAUGUGUAACAACGGUCAAAGGGGAGGGAUUAUACUUUCGUGAUUGUGAAGGAUGAAAGGCCGAAAGGAACGGUCCUUGAACUCGGCAGAUUCAAAUCUGUGGACACAAUGUUGCAUAUGCUUGAAAUUGGAAUGAAACUGAGGAGCUUGAGUUAUGAAUUGGUGAAUAAAAAGAUUUACCUUGGCUUGUAUGAGAUUGGAACAAAAGACGGCAGUCCUUCUACUCUCUCUCGGCUCUCUCUUUCUCUCAAAUGUUUUGCUAGGAAUUUGCAGAUUUUGAGUGUGAGGAGAAGUGAAACCACCGUGAAUAUAUGAGUAACGGCUCGGUUAAGGAGCUGGAGAGAUUUCUUGAAGAAUCAUAAUUCACGUUGGGAUCAGAUUUCUGCAAAUCUAGCAGAUUUCUGCAAAUCUGCGUGAAGAAGAAGGAAUAAAGAUUGGGCUCAAAGGUCUCCGACUUAUUUUAAUUGUUUGGACUCAUUAGAAUGUAGCCCAAAACUUGUGUACUUAUUUAUUUGAUUUUGGACUUCCAUUAUUUUCCAUGGCCCAAAGCCUUUUUGUAAAAUAAAAUAUUGGACUUUAUUUUA